GGCCAAGAUCUGUAAACAUUUUACUUCUGUGCCUGAGGUCAUUAGGCUGGGGCUUUUUGUGUUUUGUGUUGUUUUGAGACAGCGUUUCUCCAUGUAGCUCUGGCUGUCCCGGAACUCGCUCGUGGACCAGGUUGGGCUCGAACUCAGAGAUUCACUCUGCCUCUCCAGUGCUGGGAUUAGAGGCCUGGUGGGCCUUCUUAACUAAAAGCAGCUGUCUUGUAACAAGGGAAAACAGAGAUACGAACCGGCAAUGUGUGGGGACACAGCAGAGAGAGACGCGGCUGCAUGCCCAGGAAUGCCAAGGACUGUGACCCCUGCCAGGAGCUAGCAACACACGGGAAGAAUUCCUUUCUAUGGGUUUCAGAGGUAGUUUGGUUCUGUCGCUACCUUGAUUUCUGGCUGCCAGCGCUGAGCUGGCAUUUCUGAUGGAAGCCACCAAGCGCUUUGCUAAGGGAGCCCAGGAAGCUAACAGGAUGACUGAUGGGAAGGGCUGACUCCUCCCAGCCGUUGAGACCAGCAUCUCCUAAGGCUCCCCUGCUUACUGCUGUUUACUGCUUUGUGCGCUUGCAGUGACCUCGGCCGGGCACAGUGGCACAUGCCUGACAUCCUCCCAAGAAGCCUAAGACAAAAGCAUCACCACUGAUUCAUUCCCUCUUCCCCAAGUUGACAUUCCUUUUGUUUAUAUGGCAGAUCACAUUGAUGGAUUUUCGGAGGUUGAAACUACCUCUGCAUGCCUGGGAUGAAGCCUACUUGGUCAUAGUGGAUGAUAUCUUUGAUGUGUUCUUGGAUUCGGUUUGCAGAGACAGCAUCUGUAAUUUUCCUCACCAGAUUUUCCAAAGCCAAAGCUUCUAUCUUCUGGGAAUGUAGCACCAUGAAGUGAGAAGAGCAAUUCCACUGAAUAAUGAAAAAAGCCUUAAGUUAUCCUUCACUAUGCGAGAAAGACGAGCAUGGUCAAAGACUGAAGGCAGCUGCGGGAUGACCGAAGAUCACAGGCCUCCCCCAAAGCUACACUCCUUCCCCUAUGGUUCCAAGGGUCCUCCGAAGAUGAGACCACCGAAAUGAGAACUCAUGAGCAUAUGAACCAGCUGGAUGGCCGCAGUAAAUUUACUCAGGGACCUUGAUAAACAGGGCAGGCAGGGCUGGCAAGAUCCGGUAAAAGCACCGCUGGUAAGCCUGGUGACUGCAGUGUGAUCCCUGAGACCCGCAGGGUGAAGAGAACCAGCCCCCACAAACUGCCCUCUGAUCCCCCCUGCUUGUGCGAUGAGCACACACAGACACACACACACACAUGAAAAAACACCUCCCAUCUUGCUGAUUUACCAGAAGCAAAAACUGGUGGUGGUUUUCCUUCUAGGUUGUCCACAUCCGUGUUGAAAAGCGGAAUUUUAGGAUCGUCAUAGGCAACGACUUCCCUUCAAAACACAUGAAGAGAAGCAUGAGUGUGAGCGCUCAAAGCUCUUCAGCCCCACUUGGGCAAGGAGGACAUACAGGUUGGCCGGCAGCCCCCUGAGGGACAGAACAGGAUGACUGUGUGCACAGCUGCCUCCCCAUUCUUUACAGGCUGAAGACCGCCUUUCCAUUACUUUACGGUAGAUGACAAGUGGCAUCGGAAGGUAGAAACGAUUUGGAACGUCUUCCUAGCAUGGUGGGCUUCACUCUGUAUAGGUGAGGUGGCAUUAACACUUCCUCCACAGUGGGUACCGCUGCCAUCACCUCCUUAUGGAGGGACUGCUCUCCAGAGGGUGGAAAUCAACUCCGGCAAAUUCAUGCCCAUUGCCAGGACAAAGUUAAAAAAGCUUCAAAUGUAUCUUUAACAAUGUUGAUUUCUAAAUUCUAAUUGUAUUUUGUAUGUAUGAAUGGUUUGCCUGCAUCUGUGUCUGCGCACCCGUGGGUGCAGUGCUCAAGGAGGUCAGAAGAAGGUGUAGAUCUCUUAGAACUUUUACAGACAGUUGUGAGCUGCCAUGUGGGUGCCAGGAAUUGAAGCCUGGUCCUCUGGAGAAGCAGCCGGUGCUUUCAACCAAGGAGCCAUUUCUCCAGCCCCUGAAGCAAAUGGAAGUUUUACAGAGAAAGGGAAGAAAGCUCAUUUUCUGUAUAUUUGUUCAGUAAGUCAGGAAUACCAACAAAAUGCAAAAGAAGCAACUUUCAGUAUCUGAUUGUAGCCAACACUAGUUUCCUGAUCACUUGGAAAAUACUAAUGGGUGGCAGUAGUAACAGCAGCAAUCAGGACAGUCAACAGCUAUGGAGCAUUUCUACGCUGGGUUCUGGGCACAGAAACGCACGCACGCACGCACACAGCAGCACGCACACAGCAAAACUGUGCGAUUCUAUAAAACAUCGCAGUUCUGCAUCUGUCUAUACUCACCAGCUGACAUUCUGCGGCCGAAUAAUGAUCUUCCGGUAGGCCCCAGACAGGGAGUAAUCUCGGAUUGUGUGUCUCAUGUUGUCAAUAUCAAGACUGUCUGCGGUGAGCAUUUCCCUGUAGGCCUCACUAACUAAUACAAAAGACAGUUAGUUGGAACCCAGCCAGUCGGCAGGCUACCUUGAACUAUAUACUAGAAAGAGCAGAACAGGCACGUUGACUAGGACUGCCCUAACCAAGUUAGUUAACGCUAGUGACUUAGUAACCAGGCCUAGAAGGCACCUCCAGCCUCAGCUUAGUAACCCUGUGGUAUUAUUUUUGUAAUCAGCCAUAUAGUUUGUUGUAGCAUCAAGUUUCUAGGCUAGCUUGAAAAGGCCACUUCAGGUGGAGUUUCUGUUACUACACGGUGACUCUAAAUGUUACAAAUAGGAGAUCCUAGAAAGCAUCUGGUUUACCUCAGCCCACAGGAGAGUUUCUAGUAUCCCCUAUGCGUCAUCUGUGGGGGAACCAGCACAGGAGGCCCAGAAUGCAAAGGUCCCUCCUAUUACAGCUCGUUUUCCGCCACUCUGCUGACUCCUCUGAAACAUGGCAGGUUAGCCGUCCUCCUCGUGUGUAAGUGCCGGAACUCUACGCCGCUUCCUUCAACUGUUCCUCUGACAUUUUUGGCUUUCUCUGCUCCAGGACUAAGAUACUUGGUCUACCAAUUAGUCUGUGUUAACGUGAUGCAGACUGGGGGAAGCGGCCCUUGACUAAGGACUUACUCCCAUCAGACUGGCCUGCAGCAUGUCCACAGUGCAGUUUGCUGGUUUUGGAGGAGGGUCUAGCCCGCUGUGGGUGUUGCCACCCCUGGACAGGUGGUCCUGGCUUGUCAGAGGAAGCUAGCCGAGCAAGCCAGAGGAAGGCAGCAAUGAGCAGCUUUCCCUCAGUUCCUGCACCCACUCUUGCUAGAGCUCCUGUCCUGACCCAGUGUGAUCAGGUUGGGUAAGCCCAGUUCACCCUUUUCUCCCCAAGCUGCCCCUGGAGGUAAUGUUUUAUCACAGCAAAAGAAGCAAAACUGGACCCUGGAGCAGCGAACUGGUCAACGUUGUUUCUUCUCCUGUUUUAACUGAGCCUGGCCCACUGCUACUGAAAGGGAACCCCAGGACACUUGGCUCUUGAUCAGACCAACUGUCUGGGCCACCCUACAGGUGUCUGCGAUAGUCGUGAUCCGGGUUCUGCCGGAGACUGGCAUGCAGGUCGGAGGACUCCCUCUAGUGUGGACAUGCCCUGAACAGAGCAAAGGCAACAGGGCUCCCUCUCUCCCAGACUUGAGACAGAAUCUCUCCUGCUCUUGGACUUCACACACAUCCUAGGUUCUUGUACCUGAAGCCCCUGACCAAUGGCUUCUCUGGUCCUCUAGCAUGAGGAGAGCCAGGGACGUCUCAGUAGCUAUAAUCCAGUAAGCCAAUGCCUCUCAUAACCCCCCUUAUCUCUAUUUGUGCUAUCAGUUACAGAAGGACUGUGACUAAGAAAAGGCUUUGCUUUUAUUUUUAUUUUCCUGUUUAAAAGCACAAGAACAAUUUUAUCAGUUCUUUCUUUUGUUUUCUGAGACAGGGUUUCUAUGUGUAACCUAGGCUGUCCUCAACUGGCUUUGUAGACUAGGCCGUUCUUGAACUCACAGAGAUCUGCCUGCCUCUGCCUCCCGAGUGCUGGGAUUAAAUGUGUGUGCCACCAUUCCUGGCUCUUAUCAGAGUUUAAAAGAAGAACUCCACAAAAGGCAAGCUGUAGAUCUCAGCAGCCAUCCAAGGAGGAAGAUGAAAGGCCAUGCCAUCUGGGUCAGGCUCAGAGGUCAGCCAUGUGGCAAACAGGAGGAAAGGGGGCCUUCAAAGAAAAAGUAAGGAAGCCCAAAGUGCCAGGAAAACCAUAGCUGUGCUAUGUCGUGCAGCAAGUAAAAAAAGCGGCACCUCAGGAAGAGGCAGGACACCUCAGCAACAGGUGCUCGUGGCAGCUGUGAGGCAACCACGAGCUUUAGCAUCUUCAAUCUCUCCUUGGCUGAUGCCAUGGGAAGCAGAUUCUAUUCGUCCCUGCCCGCCUUCCUCACUCUUUCCUGCUCACCCCACUCCCUUCUCUUCAGUGAUGUCAGCCAGUCCAGGCAGCAGGGCGAUGUGGACCGCUUACAAAUCAGAGCUCGAAAAACCUGCCCAGGGGUAGCCAAUCACCCAAGAGGACUUUAGUCCUCAGCAUUUUCUAAUUUACAGCAUUUCAAGGAAUGUAACACUAGCAAGUAGAAAUACAGCCCUCUGACCUAGGGAAAACUUUAUUUUUAACAGAACAAACAAACACCUAUCCACAAGCCAGUGCUGGCUGGGAGAAGAUACUGGGUCAGCUCUCCCAAUCCGCCCAGAGCCGUUCCUUUCCUGACACUGCAUCCCCGAGCCACAGACGCCGAAAGCCACCAAUGGCACCCACGACGGUGAUAGAAGCCAUGAUAAAAGUCUGCACAAUGGGAAGUAAGUUAGAUUGGCAUCCAACAUACAGGCUGAAGCAAUCCUCUAGCCUCAGCACCUGGGCUCACAGGCCCAUGACAUUACACUGGGGUAGCUUCUAAUUUAAACUAAUCUUCUGAAUACAUUCCUUUCUAGAAGACCCUCACCAUUUAAAAAAAAAAAUAUAUAUAUAUAUAGUUCAUAUAUAUAUAUAUAUAUAUAUAUAUAUAUAUAUAUAUAUAUAUUGUUCAUAUAUAUUUCUAUGUAGCCAUGGUUGGCCCGGAACUUGCUUUGUAGGCCAGGCUAGCUUUGAACUUACAGAGAUCUGUCAGCCUCUGUUGGGAUUAGUCAUCACACUCAGAAGUUUAUAUAUUUUUGAAAGCUAAAACUCUAUUAAAACUUGCUAGAAAGAAAGCUUUAAGAUUAUGUUUCAAGUGCUGAUUUUUCCCUCUGCUUCAAUCUUGGCUACUGUCAGCUUAAUCACAUUGCAUUUCUUUUAACUAUUUGGCCCCAAACAUGAGACUUACUUUUAUGUUUGGGGUAGAUAACAUCAAAACCUGGCAAAGGCAUCACCACAUCAUGAAUGGAGUAAUUAUCAACAUCAUCAUCUUCAAUAUAGGUGGCUGUGGCUGCAAAUCCAUAAGUAAACAGCAGGUUAAGAAAAAGCCUUUUUCAUGAAUCCAGCUUCCUAAAAUUAUACACAUCUAAGUGAGUGUUUAAAAGCACAAGAUGUCCAGAUCCAGAGGUCCUUUUUAAAUUGGCCGAGGAACCUUGAGCAAGGGGCUGAAUCUGGUACAAACCAGAGUACCUCCCGGUAGCACUGUGACAGGGCAAUGCAGGCAAAGCCUAAGACCACAGUGAUGUUUCAUAGAAGACAGGGUAUUAGCACUUAAAAAAAAAAGAUUCUAUUUUGUGUAUAUGGAUGAUUUGCCUGUAUGUAUGUCUGUGUACCAUGUGUGGGCAGAAACCCAGAGGCCAGAGGAGGGCAUUAGAGCCCCUGGAAAUGGAGUUAUAGACAGCUGUGAGCCCCCAUGUAGGUGCUGAGGAUGGCUGCUCCUCUGGAGGAACAGCCAGUGCGCAUCACAGGGGAACCACAGCUCUAGACCCAUAUUAACAUUUCUUCCUUCCUUCCUUUCUCUCUCUCUUUCCCUCCUUCCCUCUCUCUCUCUCUCUUUUUAAAGAAAGGGUUUCUCCAUGAACCCCUGGCUGUCCUGGAACUCCCAGAGGUCCACCUGCCUCUGCCUCCUGAGUGUCACCAUGACUGGCAAGCACUUCUUAUGUUAAUGCUGUGGAUCACUCUAUCAUGCUCACCAAUAAAGUUAGCUCCAGGCUGGUAUUCACCUGAAGAAACUGCCUGAUGACAGACUGAAUCACUGAGACACAUUAAUAAAUAUACGUAUUUUGAA